GGUCUCAGGGCAGCAGUGGUCCGUGGCCUUUGACUGCAGGGCGGCCCUGUGCGGAGCCCAGCUCUGUCACUGACUCGCAGCUCCGUGCUCACAGCGAGCUCUCAAAUGUCUCUGAGGCUGGGCGUCCGCGUCCUGGAAGCCGAGGGUGAAGCGUGCUGGUUGCAGGCUGCGGUGAGGACUGAAGAUGAACGCACGAGGGGCCUGGCACGUGGGGACUCACCGACACGCCUGCACGACAGAAAAAUUCCUACUAUUUGGGGGCCGAGUACACCUUAUGCACUGUCACCAGAGCCUCAGGUUCUUGAUCUAAUUUAAUUUUCACAAGUCUUUGAGGUGGGUAUUCGUGUGCCCAUUUAGCAGAUGGAGAAAACAAGUUCAAGGAGGUUCCGUGCUGUGGUCAUUCAGCGGUGAAGUGGUCAGCAUGAAGCGUCAGUGCUAAAGCCCAUGAGCUUUCCCUUGUGCCCUGGGGACUUUGCUAAGAAGGUUUUCAGGCGGUCUCAACAGCCCCUCCUGGGGCAGCCCAUCUCCAGAAAUGACAUCUGCCUUCACUCAGGGCCACGUCUCGCCCCAGGCCUCCGUCCACAGCAGGAGCACCAGGAAGGUCAUCAGCGGCCGGGCGGAACAGGUGCAACACUGGAAUGCAUCUUCCUCACGUUUCUGAAUCGCCACAGGGGUUUACUUGGCAGAGACACAGCUUCUUAGGCACAUUUAUAUACUUGAAGACCAAAGUGAAGGUUGGCUGGAAGUUAUAAACUGGACCAAGAUCGGGGGAGGCAUUGGUGGGCUGCUCUCACCGCCCACACGCGCUUUCCCGCACGUCUGCCUCCUCAGGGCUGUAGCUGGUGGGGACAAGCAAGAUGUUAGAGAGGGGUGAGCGGCACAGACUGCUUUUAAUGUGUAUUCACAGCUUCAUCCACUGUGCUGGACAUGGAUGGGUGGACUUGACUGAACGCCUCUUGCAGCUUCAUUUAAAAGAUAUUUUUCUAUGUCUGGUUUGGCAACUGUUCUCUUUCCGUGUUUACAGACACCAUCGUCGUCUUCUGCAUUCCACUGUUUUUUUUUUUUUUGAAGUCAACUGUGGAUACGACUCUGCUUCCUUGGAGGCAGUGGCCCCUUCCUGCUUCACUGUCCACAGCUCUCACCCCUGGCUGUGCUUUGAUUUUUGGUAUGUUGGCCUGUGAUGUUUACAGCCUAGCGUGACGUACAUGGAUCUAAGCGUGUUUCUCCCACACUGCCUUUAUCCAGCUUCAAUUUCUUAGAGCUUCUUGCAUCUAUGGGUUCCUGUUUUUACUGUUUGGUGAAAUUUCUUGGCCAAUUCCUCCUCAAAUUUCGUUUCUGACCCUUUUCUGCCUCUCUUCCUCUGGAACUCCCUUUCCAUGGAUGUCAUGCCUUCCCACUGUGUGAUGCGUUUCUCAAGCUCUCAUAUAUGUUUUCUCAGCGUUGUCCUCUCUUUGGUCAGUCUUCCUACAAGCCUGUCUCCCUUGUCUCUCCCCGGCUCUGCUGAGUUCACUAUUCUGACUGCAUUCUUCAUUGUGAUAAUUAUAUAUUUCAUUUCUAGCUUUUUUUUCUUUUUAUAGCUUUUAAAAAAAUAUCAGUUCUCCAUCUUUGCCGUCUCUUCUUUUAGCUAUUAAUCACAGCUAUUUAAAUAUUCUGUCUGAUAACAGUAAAACCCAGAUGACCUGAGGGGCUGUUUCUAUUGUCUUUGAUUUUUCCCUGGUUUUCAUUCCUUUGGCCCUAUUUACUAGGACUCCUGACAAUUCAUGGUUGGAUGCUGGAUAUUGUGUAUAAAAGCUUUAGAUUGUCUUAAUGAUGCUAUCUUUAUCUUCCGUGGAAGUUCCUCCUCUCACAGGCAGUCUGUGGGGCUAGCGUACCCUGGUUCCAUCAGGGGCUUUGGCCACCCAUUUCUCGUGGACAGGACUGUUCCUGGUCACUCCUCACCUGCAGGCCCACGCCCAGGGCUCCCCCUCGGGGGCCCCUCCAUUCUCUCUGGCAUCCUGAGUUUCCUGAUAGCUCUGCUCAGCUUUGUGGCCUCUUGGGCAACAUUCUCUCCUUGGCUCCUUGGAUGCUGGCCGCACGCAGGGUGGGAAAUGGCACAGGCCUCAGGGUGGACACAACGCGAGGCCAGGCUCGCUUCUCUGUGGCUUCUGUUUCUCCAGAUUCUCAGCUUCUCUGGUGCCACUGCCUUGGUGUGGGGACUCUGACCUGAUCCCCAGCAGAUGCGCUGAGUUCCUGCCUUCUCCACUUAGGCCGUAGCAGAUGCUCUGGUGGAAAAGCCAGGAGGAAUGUGAUGCUCAGUUGUGAUCCCUACUUCUCUGAGCACCUGGUCCGAGUGCUGCUUGAGUGCAGCCUACUGUCUUUCAGCAGCUCGUUUCGCAUUUCAUCCAGAUUUUAUGCUCAUUCUCGGCAGGAUGGUCUUAUUGACACUGGCUCCUUCACUGGAGCCAGAGAAGAAAGUCCUAGAACCACAGCUCUGAGUUGCAAGCUUUACUUCUCUGGUCUCAUUUGAGCCACUUGGAUAAUGAAAUAGACAUUACCUGGGUUGUAACACUGAAAUCAAAAUGAGGAAAACUGGAUUUCUUUCCGGAAUCCAUAGGAAAGUGCUCUGUGACAGUGGGUUUUCUGGUCCACUGUCCUGUCUGAACUAUGCUUGUCUAUUUAAUUGCUGCUAAGUCGCUUCAGUCGUGUCCGACUCUGUGCGACCCCAUAGAUGGCAGCCCACCAGGCUCCCCCGUCCCUGGGAUCCUCCAAGCAAGAACACUGGAGUGGGUUGCCAUUUCCUUCUCCAAUGCAUGAAAGUGAAAAGUGAAAGUGAAGUCGCUCAGUCGUGUCCAACCAUCAGCGACCCCAUGGACUGCAGCCUACCAGGCUCCUCCAUCCAUGGGAUUUUCCAUGCAGGAGUACUGGAGUGGGGUGCCAUUGCUAGGGCUACUGAAAUUAUUUAAAUGAAGUAGAGAGACAAAAGGAAGAUUUUUCUUGUUAUUCUUCCUCAUUCUAAGUUAGUUCCCCGUGAGACCUGAGAACUCUUGCUACAACAGCCAACAGCAACCCUUUCUGUCCCGUGUCAUGCCCACCUUUGCCAUCUGUUCCCCCCGCACACCCCGUCCAGGAAAUUGGAGGUGGAGGGCAAACGUUGACUCUGUGUGAAGCUGCCAUUGGAGCCCAAUCUGUUUCUGUCCUGCAGCAUCUUUAUGGGCCUUGGUUUGUGCAGCGUUUGGAGUUGAUUUCAAGAUGUUUUCAAGAGAAACGCCUUUUGUUCCCAGAGGCGAUGCUGACCUAGAUCGUGCAUGUUCGCUCCACCAGCCGGAGGGCGGGGGGAAGGUCUGAGCUGGCUGAGCGCACGCAGCUGAGCCACCGGAGUGUACGGUCCUGGCCAUCUCAGGGAGCCAAGGCUGCGCCAACUUUUCUCUAGGUUAGCCUAAUCUAAAAAUAACACUUUCAUCUCAUUAAUAGGCCGGUCAUUAUCUGAUGUUUUGCUGUGGGUUCAGGGCCCCAGAAUUUAUCACGCUUUGAUGAUAGCGUGGUUCCAGUUAUCUGACUCACUCGGGAUGGGCCUGGCGCAGAUUGAGGUCUGUCCCGGGCCUUGGCUGGGACAGGGCUCGUCAAGUCCCUAGCCCUGUUUAUGCCAUGUAGGCGGAGCUACAGAAAGUCUUGCAUUCCAUCUGGCUAGGGGAGCCCCGUGGUUGGAGCAGGGGAGGGAAAAACUAUCUAAAGAUAUUUUUUCUUUCUGCUAGUCCCACUAGGAGAUUGACUCUCGUCGUUAAUUCCAGUCAGGGGAAGCCAGGUCGCCCUGGAGGUUGACUAGGGUGGCCGAGCACCAUGGCCUCUUUUCACCAUCAAAUUUCUGGGUUGAGGAUCAGGCCCUUCUCUCUUCGACAAAGUCUCCUGGGCCUUGUUUGUUUGUUUGUUUUGUUUUACACUGCAGGAGACUCUCAGAGAACUCAAGGCUUUUUAUUCUGAAAUUGCAGAGGGGAGGAAGGAAGGGCAGCAAGCAGUGUCUGCAGACUCCUGGUGCGGCCGCCGGGAGCAGAGAGCCCGAGGCGGUGACUGUCGCCAGGAGGCCCUGAGGGUGGCAGGCACAGGUGCCCUUCAGGGGGGUGUGGGGGGGACAGUAGCCAGGACAGCCCCCCACAGGCUGCUCCCUGAGCGACAGGUGACGAUGUUUGGUGAUGUGGAAGUGAGGAGGUUGUGGGUCAGCCCCAGCGGCACGUGGGGUGAUCACGCGCAUGUUGGGGCAGACUGUGCCCGGUGGCCAUAGGGGCCCGGGGCCCUUCCUUGGAGGGCAUCUAGGAUCCCCUGGCAUCUGCCUGCCAGAUGCAGCAGCACCCCAGCCCAGCUGUGAAGACAGAACUAUCCCCUGAGGCCAUGGUCACUCUCGGCUGAGCGUCCCUGCUAGGAAGGAAGCCGUCCGGGCCAGAGAGCUGAGAAUCCUGUGCUUUUCAAUGGCCAUCCAUCAACCCUAGACUCUUGCACACACUCAGCAAACAAACAAAAGGACAGUUGAAAAGCCCCAUCUGGGGGCAAAGGUUUUACUCCACCCAGGUCGAGCUCACCGAGAUGCUCCCGUCGCUCUGAAUAAACAUCGCCACCUUAGGAGGGACGAGCAUCUGCUCAGCUGCUCCCUGGGGUCGGUCUCCCACUUUGGUUCCUAUUCGUUGUCUCAUUUUAGCUUGCUUGGUCUCAUUCAGCAGAUCUCAUGUGUUUGCCAGUAAAUUGUGUGUGCCUGGUAACCAGUGACGGCGACACGGAAGCCUGACAAUAUUGUCCAGUGUGUUUGGGAUUUCUGGUUAAGGCAACUUCAGGAUAACAUGCAGUGAUUCAUACCGGUUUACUGACCAAUAUUACGGAAGAAAGCCUGGUAGGAGGAGUUUCUGUGGCUCAAGGAAGCUCCCAUGGCCGAUCUGAAACGAAGAAACGUGGUCACCUCCUGGGCCCCCGCUCUGAACAGGAAGUGAACCCAGGAAUGUAGGCUCUGGGUUCCUGGCGGGGCAGGAGGGGCUGGGUGAGGAGGGGCCCUGGGCCGGGGGGGAGGCCCCCAGGCCAGCCCCAGUGUGGCAGGGUGGACGGUGGAGCCUGGACAGGUCCCCACAGCGUGUCGCUUCACAGCGUGUCGCUUCACAGCGUGUCACUUCUAGCGGGGGGCCAGGGUCUGUGUCCCUAACCACGGCCCUAAAUUCACACAGGGAGACCCAGUGGGGCCUCAGCACGCUGAGGGCAGCCGUGAGCCACCCCUCCUGGUCCUCGGGGCCUCACAGGGCCGACACAGGGAGGUGGGCAGCGGCCCUGCUGGGCUGAACCGAGACACCCAGGACGUCCCAGCAGGAGCGGGCGACUCCAUCAGGGCCUCCCCCACCAACCCAGGACACAACCUCCCCCGUGGCUGCUGCCCUGCCGUCCAGGCGGAGCAGGAACACGAUGACCAGUGUUCUCAUUAGACCUGAUUUAUUGACCUCAGAGCAGCCUUUGAUCUCACGGAGACGCGAGAGGAGAGAGGAGGGCAUGGGGCUGAGGACGAGAACAGGCUGAGUUGGGGUAGCGGGGUGGGGAGGCCGGGCUGCUCCCCAGCAUGCAGGCCUGUGUCGGGGGUGGACACAGGGAGGUCUGGCCACCGCCCCCAGGGCUGGCCUCAGGGUGGACACGGGGAGGCCCGGCCACCGCCCCCAGGGUGCCUCGUGGGCUCACUGGAAACUCUGUGCCUCUGUGUUUGGCUUGGCGGGCGUCUCCCCAUCCCCAGGUCUGGAUGCGUUUCCACGUCGCCCUCAGGUGACCGGCAGCAGUCUCCGCUCUCCCUCAGGCAGUCACUUUCCAGCGGGGACCCCCAGGGGGACUGCCCCGGGUGGCAUGUGCUUUUUUGAUGGACCUUGUUCUUACUGCUGCGGCCUCAGAGGCUUUAAUCAAAGGCCACGUGGGAGUGCGGCCAGCUAGUUAGCUGGUGAUGCUUCAAGGCUGACUGACGGGGACUGAAGCCUUUCCCCGAGACGGCGGGCUUGAGCUGUCCAGGAAGAUGGACAGUGCAGGAGUCACUCACCGGGCGAGGCUCCCCGUCGACAAGAGCGGAGGAGCCGCAGGCUUGCGCAACGUGGGCCUGCAGGGACACGUCUGUGCCCGGGGCCGGCUUGGUGGGGGUGAGCGGUGGGCGUGUGGUCGCUAGAGGGUGUGGACAGGGCUCAGGCACCUCUGCUGUGUCCACGGGAAGCACCCAGAAGUCCUCGAACUGUGCUUUCAAGAGAAAGCUGAGGCGGGACUAGGGUGCGGGCUCAGGUCUCUGUGUUUUCAUACCUGAUUUACGACGGAACGCUCCUUUCCUCUAGGCAACUGCUUUUCGAGCCCCAAGCCUGGGUCAGACCCUCUCAGAACCCUCCGAGCAGAGACUUGCAGCCAGGUUUGGAAAGGAGCAGGCGGUAAUUACAGAACCUCCCUGAGGGGCCGCGACGGGUGGGGCUGCGAGGUACACCCUGGGCGCUCGGCAGGAGCGGGUGAGGAGGGCGGGAGCGGGCACAGAGCCUGGCUGGCUGUCCCGGCUCCGGGCCCCCCGGCACCUCCUCCUCCAGCCCCCGGCACGGUAUCCGUCUAGCCUGCAGGGCGCAUCUUUCCCCUUUUAUUCUUGGUGAUGAGAUCAUCCAAUAUUGAUGUCACCUGACUUCAACACUAGCUGUUACCUGGUUUGGUACCUGGUGUCUGACUAACUCUGCAUUUCUGCAAUAAAGCAAUUGGCUUGAGGUCUUACUGUAGACAAGUGCAGGAAUUUAGACAGAAGUUGGAUGGAUUCACCUUGAACUACCAGCAAAAGAAAGGAUUUGGUAAUUAAAUUAAGAAUUAAGGAAACCAUGGGGAUUUGAUUACACCUUUUAAAGAGAAUCAAUUGUCUUAAGGCUCCUUUAUGUAUCCAUUUACCUUCAAAAGAAAAUAAAAUAUUAUUUCAUACGUUUUCCUAAAGGACUAGACGUAAACUUCAGCAUCUGGUUCCGUUGUUAAAAUUGCAAGUUGAACUUACAUUUUAAAGUAUAAAAACUAGAUUUUUCCUAAAUCACAUCAAAUAGCGUACGUUAGGGUCAUUUUAACAUUUUUUAUUGAGUUAUUAAUAUCAACAAAAUACUCAAAUAAAGGUCUUGAGUUGGUUGAUACAAGAGAACUACCCUUAAAUUUCUGAGGAUUCUCAAAGGAUUCCCCUUUGAGAAUCGGAUCAGGAAUACAGACAUCUCAGACAAGAAGAGGCCCAGACCGUGCGGCAGAUGGGUGCAGAAUUCCUGAGCUGGGGGCAUUUGCUUGCAGAUGUCCUGGUUUUCAAGCUGGUGGGUGGACCCCUGGACGACUCCUGACCUAGAGUGGGAGCCUCCCCAGUCCAGUACCUUCUCCCAACUGUAGCACCGGCCGCCCAGUGAUAGCCUCAGACCCCACGGACACAAGCACACACGUGUGUCCAUUUGUCCUAAACAGCGUUUCUGGAAAGCUGUUUGAACAGUUUGCACUGGGCGCCACCAACCCAAUUACGCAGCCCACGUCCUCCAGGAGAAUUUUCCUUCUGUUCAUGACGCUGACAUGAACAAAUCAACCCUGAUCCUCCGCCUGCCACUCCCUCACUAAUAAAUUAGCAGAGUUUACAUAACCCGCAGUCGGCAGUUUGCGCUGGGCGCCACCAACCCAAUUACGCGGC
ensembl:lncRNA